CCAUUUUGAUUAUUCUGAAUGUAGUAAUGUCUCAUGAGCUUAGUGGACAAGGCCCAAGAACGUGGGGGAAAAGAAUGAUUAGAGAGUUUAGGAUAAAAUAAUUCCACUUCUAAGACAACCAUGCUUCCUCUCUCCCUCUUGAGCUUAUUCCACACCAAAAAUUGCUCCACCACGCUGCAAGUAGCAGAGUAAACCAGAAAUGUCCAUAACCACAAUUAACCGAAGCCUCUCACUCUCAUCUUCCUAAUUCUUGAAUUCUUUUUUUCUAAAGAUCAACAAAAUUCCUAGACCGAACCAAAACCUUGAAGAACCCUAAAUCAUAAAAGUUGAAAUUAAAUCAAAAUGGAGGACUAAUCCAAACUCAAACCUUAGGGGUUUGGUUCAGAGAUUCAAACAGUACAUUAUGGUAACCGGAACCAACCUACAAGGCCGUGGCUCGCCUUGGGAACUUACUGAGGAUGAAUAUGAUGAAGUUGAAGAAUAAAGAAAACCAUAGAAUAUCCAGGGUUGUUGUUUAUGGAGCAUUGUUCAUGGAAUUCAACUUAGUUUGGCAUGGUAUGACAUUUCACAGUUGGCAUGGAAUUGAGAUAUGGAUCAUGAAGAAGUUAGCAAGUCAUGGUAUAUGAAGAAGUCUUGAAGACUUGGAUGCACAAGAAUGGGAGAACUUUGAGGAUGAAGGAAAAGUAAUAUAGGGUUUAGGAUAGGUAGUUUGACUUUGGUCAACUAUUUGACCAAAAAGUCAACUCUAGAUCAAAUGUUGUAAUUUUUGUAUAGAAUUUGAUUAUUGACUUUUGUAAUGAAAUUGGAUGUUUGUAAUGAAAUUGGCUCCUUAGAAUGGUAUAUGUAACUUGAUUCUCAAGAGUAAAUUCUUUUCCCUUCAA